UACGGAAGGCAGCAGUGGGGAAUAUUGCACAAUGGGCGCAAGCCUGAUGCAGCCAUGCCGCGUGUAUGAAGAAGGCCUUCGGGUUGUAAAGUACUUUCAGUCGUGAGGAAGGUGUUAAGGUUAAUAACCUUAGCAAUUGACGUUAGCGACAGAAGAAGCACCGGCUAACUCCGUGCCAGCAGCCGCGGUAAUACGGAGGGUGCGAGCGUUAAUCGGAAUUACUGGGCGUAAAGGGCACGCAGGCGGUUAAUUAAGUUGGAUGUGAAAUCCCCGGGCUUAACCUGGGAAUGGCAUUCAAGACUGGUUAGCUAGAGUCUUGUAGAGGGGGUAGAAUUCCGAUGUGUAGCGGUGAAAUGCGUAGAGAUGUGGAGGAAUACCGGUGGCGAAGGCGGCCCCUGGACAAAGGACUGACGCUCAUGUGCGAAAGCGUGGGGAGCGAAACAGGGAUUAGAU
rnacentral:rRNA from 1 species